rnacentral:lncRNA from 1 species
AGAAAGAAAGAAAGAAAGAAAGAAAGAAAGAAAGAAAGAAAGAAAGAGAGCGAGGGAGCGCGAGGAGGCGUGGGGGGCGGGGGUGGGGGCGGCUCUGCGCGGGGCCUGCGUGGCGCGCGGAGCGGGUUGCGGGGCUUCCCCAGGCGGAUGCCCUUGAGCCGGUCUCCUUGGGGGGCCGCCCCCCGCCCCCGCCCCGGGUCCCCGGCCGCCGCGGGCCGCACACCCACGGAGGGCGCUGGGCUGGGCGACGCCGGCCGCGCGGACCCGCCCCCUGCGCGCCGCCCGGAUUGGCUCGUCGGAGCCGCGUCCCGGGUGCAGCCAAUGAGGCGGCCGGGGCGGGGGCUGCGGGGCGGGGCGCGGGGCGGCCGCCUCCUCCCGGAGGGAUUCCUGGAGGAGCUGCAGUGUGGGGAUGCUCUAGCCCGAGCGCUGCCCUCCGCGCCGCUCCUCCUCCGCCUCCGCCUCCGCCUCCUCCGCCUCCCGCAGCCGCAACUUGCAGCCGCGCCCGGGCCAGCCCCCCGGGGUGGUGUGCGCGGCGCCCCAGGGGCUGCCCCUCCACGAGCAGAGGCAGCGGGAGGACGCGCGCGCCCGCACGGGUCCACGCGGGCAGAGCCGCGGGGACGGACACCGGCACCCCCGGGUCCUGCCUCCAGGGAAAACACGAAAACGAGAACCAGCAAGAGCUUGAGUGACAAACGCCUGGCUUGA